rnacentral:sRNA from 1 species
UUAUAUAAUAAAUUAAGAUUUCAUUUUUCCUACAUUUUAAGAUCCAUUGUUGCUAUAUUUUAAGUAAAUAAUUAUAUGACAUUUUAUCCAUUUCCGACUGAACAUUUGUUUACUAUUAAAUGAACUUUAAAAGGUACUUAAACAAAAUAUUAUACCAAUAUUUAUAACUACUGAUCAUCCAAACAUGUGAAAGAAAGUGAAUGCAAACCUUGAAAAAACAAUAAUGCAGAUGUAUUAAUUCAAAAGUUCUAAUCUAAUCCGAUUCAAAUAAAAGAGAAGAACAUGACAAGUAAGAUGUCCAUCAAAGAUUGUAUAUAUGGAUGAUAGCAAGUAUGUUGACUAUCUCAGUGUUAUUAAGUGUGUUUAGUGAACUUGAUCUAAGCAAUAUCCUUUGAUCAUCUAAGUGGACAAGUGUUUAUGGACAAGUGUUAAUGGACAAGUAUUUAUGACCGAAUCUAAGUGGAUGAUCUGAAAGUGUUUAGAGAACCUUAAAUAUAUUAUGGUAUUGCUGGUUGUGAUUGUUUCCCAAGCCUGCAACAAGUUUUGAUGAUUUUCAAUUAGCCGACAAUACAUAUGGUCUUCACAAAGCAUAUACAGUUAUCCAAACCUACUUUCAUUUGUGUUUAUUCAAUCUGGUGGUUCUUUAAGUCAUCCAUUUGUUCGAAUCCAGUAGACUAGUACAUGGACAAUAUGAACAUAUUGAAACAAACAAUUGUUCACAGUGUCAUAGAUGAUAUAGUUAUUAAUGAAUCAAAUCAGAUCAAAACUCUUGAAUUAAUAAAUCUGCAUUUUUGUUUUUUCAAACUUUGCAUUCACCUUCUCUCACCUGUUCUACUACAAGAAAUAUGGGCGUUCUUAACACACAGAAAACACUAUAAUAUUGUUUACAUAGCGGAUUCAUAAACGCUGUGUUUGCCGGAGCUUUCUUAGGUCGGUCACAUACAAUAGCGUUUUCUUCCUAUGCUAUGUUAUGUAAACAUAUCAUAGCGUAAAUUAUGUGAUAUGAUUCUCAUUUUUGCAGUUCAAUUUUAAUGUUGUAUUAUAUUGUGUUGUAGCAUUUUAUAUUUGUUGUAUUCUAUUAUACUUAUAGCUCUUGUUUAUUGUUCUACUACAUGUUUAGGUGCUAUCUUAUUUCAUAUACAUUUAACCCAAUUUUACAUAAAUAUUUAGUUGAAUUUAUUAAAAAUAUUAUAUUAGAUAAAUUAUACAAAACAUACAUACCAAGUCUUAUACUAACCCUAAACAUAUGUUACUUUCUAUUUUAAAAUAAAAAAGGAAAAUAACAACCGAGUUUCUUAUUUUAGACAACCGAAUAUAUGUUAAGUUCCCAAAACAAUUAAAUGUCAAAUCAUAUAUGGAACUCAUUCAAAUAUGUUUUAUAGAAA